UACGUAGGGUGCGAGCGUUGUUCGGAAUCAUUGGGCGUAAAGCGUGAGUAGGUGGUUUGCUAAGUCGGGUGUGAAAGCCCUGGGCUCAACCCAGGAAGUGCAUUCGAAACUAGCUCACUUGAAGAUGGUAGAGGAAGGUGGAAUUCCAAGUGUAGAGGUGAAAUUCGUAGAUAUUUGGAGGAAUACCGGCGGCGAAGGCGGCCUUCUGGACCAUUCUUGACACUGAGACACGAAAGCGUGGGUAGCAAACAGG
rnacentral:rRNA from 1 species